ACCAGAAUCUCAUAUGCUGCCCCUACACCAUGGAACCUUGACAGCAAAAGGGGAAGAAAGAAAGACGAUAGA
rnacentral:tRNA from 1 species